rnacentral:piRNA from 1 species
CCAAGAUCAGUGGGUGCAGGAAGUCUA